rnacentral:rRNA from 1 species
GACGAACGCUGGCGGCGUGCUUAACACAUGCAAGUCGAACGGUGAAGCGCCUUCCUUUUUGGUGGGUGUGGAUGAGUGGCGAACGGGUGAGUAACACGUGAGUAACCUGCCCCCUUCUUCUGGAUAACCGCAUGAAAGUGUGGCUAAUACGGGAUAUUCUGGGUCUGUCGCAUGAUGGGUCUGGGAAAGAUAUUGUUUCGGUGGGGGAUGGGCUCGCGGCCUAUCAGCUUGUUGGUGGGGUGAUGGCCUACCAAGGCGGUGACGGGUAGCCGGCCUGAGAGGGUGGACGGCCACACUGGGGCUGGGACACGGCCCGGACUCCUACGGGGGGCAGCAGGGGGGAAUAUUGCACAAUGGGCGCAAGCCUGAUGCAGCGACGCCGCGUGAGGGAUGGAGGCCUUCGGGUUGUGAACCUCUUUCGCCAGUGAAGCAGGCCUGCCUCGUUUGUGGGUGGGUUGACGGUAGCUGGAGAAGAAGCGCCGGCUAACUACGUG